rnacentral:rRNA from 1 species
GACGAACGCUGCCUUCGUGCUUAACACAUGCAAGUCGAACGAUGAAGCUUGGUGCUUGCACUGGGUGGAUUAGUGGCGAACGGGUGAGUAACACGUGAGUAACCCGCCCUUUACUUCGGGAUAAGCUUGGGAAACUGGGUCUAAUACCGGAUAUUCUGCAUGGUCGGAUGGUUGUGUAGGAAAGAUUUUUUGGUAAGGGAUGGGCUCGCGGCCUAUCAGUUUGUUGGUGGGGUGAUGGCCUACCAAGACGACGACGGGUAGCCGGCCUGAGAGGGCGACCGGCCACACUGGGACUGAGACACGGCCCAGACUCCUACGGGAGGCAGCAGUGGGGAAUAUUGCACAAUGGGGGAAACCCUGAUGCGGCGACGCCGCGUGGGGGAUGACGGCCUUCGGGUUGUAAACCUCUUUCAGUAUGGAAGAAGCGAAAGUGACGGUACCUGCAAAAGAAGUACCGGCUAACUACGUGCCAGCACCCGCGGUAAUACGUACGGAACUACCGCUGUCCGGAAUUAUUGGGCGUAAGAGCUCGUAGUGGUUUGUCGCGUCUGCUGUGGAAACGUGCCGCUUAACGGUGCGCGUGCAGUGGGUACGGGCGGACUAGAGUGCAGUAGGGGAGUCUGGAAUUCCUGGUGUAGCGGUGAAAUGCGCAGAUAUCAGGAGGAACACCGGUGGCGAAGGCGGGACUCUGGGCUGUUACUGACGCUGAGGAGCGAAAGCAUGGGGAGCGAACAGGAUUAGAUACCCUGGUAGUCCAUGCCGUAAACGUUGGGCACUAGGUGUAGGGUCCAUUCCACGGAUUCUGCGCCGUAGCUAACGCAUUAAGUGCCCCGCCUGGGGAGUACGGCCGCAAGGCUAAAACUCAAAGGAAUUGACGGGGGCCCGCACAAGCGGCGGAGCAUGCGGAUUAAUUCGAUGCAACGCGAAGAACCUUACCAAGGCUUGACAUGCACUAGAUCAUCGCAGAGAUGUGGUUUUCUUUUUGACUGGUGUACAGGUGGUGCAUGGUUGUCGUCAGCUCGUGUCGUGAGAUGUUGGGUUAAGUCCCGCAACGAGCGCAACCCUCGUUCUAUGUUGCCAGCACGUGAUGGUGGGAACUCAUGGGAGACUGCCGGGGUCAACUCGGAGGAAGGUGGGGAUGACGUCAAAUCAUCAUGCCCUUUAUGUCUUGGGCUUCACGCAUGCUACAAUGGCCGGUACAGAGGGUGGCGAUACCGUGAGGUGGAGCGAAUCUCUUAAAGCCGGUCUCAGUUCGGAUCGUAGUCUGCAACUCGACUACGUGAAGUCGGAGUCGCUAGUAAUCGCAGAUCAGCAAUGCUGCGGUGAAUACGUUCCCGGGCCU